AGAACGAACGCUGGCGGCAUGCCUAACACAUGCAAGUCGAACGAGAAGUCCCGCAAGGGAUUGUAAAGUGGCGCACGGGUGCGUAACACGUGGGUAAUCUGCCCUUUAGCUCGGAAUAACCUCUCGAAAGAGAGGCUAAUACCGGAGAGACCACAGGGACAUCAGUCCUAGGGGUUAAAGGUGGGGACCGUAAGGCCUAUCACUAAAGGAUGAGCUCGCGCACUAUCAGCUAGUUGGUGAGGUAAUGGCUCACCAAGGCUAUGACGGUUAGCUGGUCUGAGAGGAUGAUCAGCCACACUGGAACUGAGACACGGUCCAGACUCCUACGGGAGGCAGCAGUGGGGAAUCUUGCACAAUGGGCGAAAGCCUGAUGCAGCAAUGCCGCGUGAGUGAUGAAGGCCUUCGGGUUGUAAAUCUCUGUCGGCUGGGACAACGACUUCUACCUAUAAAUAGAGAGAGUGAUGGUACCAGCAAAGGAAGA
rnacentral:rRNA from 1 species